rnacentral:snRNA from 1 species
CGAACUCAUCGUAAUCGUUCAGGGCCUUACGUAAGACCUAUAGAGCGAAUUUUUGGAAGCCUCUACGAGGUAGAGGCG